CUCGUCCUACGGGACGCAGCAGUAGGGAAUCUUCGGCAAUGGGGGCAACCCUGACCGAGCAACGCCGCGUGAGUGAAGAAGGUUUUGGGAUCGAAAAGCUCUGUUGUAAGAGAAGAACGUGUGUGAGAGUGGAAAGUUCACACAGUGACGGGAACUUACCAGAAAGGGACGGCUAACUACGUGCCAGCAGCCGUGGUAAUACGUAGGUCCCGAGCGUUAUCCGGAUUUAUUGGGCGUAAAGCGAGCGCAGGCGGUU
rnacentral:rRNA from 1 species